rnacentral:lncRNA from 1 species
CACUUCAUCAAAACGCGCAAAUGGGCCCACUCCUGCACAUCCAACACGCACAUGGGUCCCACCAAGGCGUUUCAGCAAUUCACUCCACCGAUGGCCCAUUCACGCACAAUCACAAGCACAUGGACAGCCCGCGCUUCAAAGCUCCUCACAUGGACCACUCACGCAAUGGACCAAGCUCAACACUCACGCUCCAGCCCAUUCAAGCACUCGGACGGCCAAUCACGCGCACGUGGGAAGCAAUUGUUUCCAAAUUAGGGCGCUCCUCUGCACUUAUUUAAAGGACUUUUAAGCGGUCGAAGAAGACAAUUCCAAUUCAAAUUCUAAUUCGGCAAUUUCGCAGGCGCAAGGCAGAAGUUCUUCGGUUCUUUCCUUCCUUUCCUUUUUAUUUUUAUUUUUUCUGUUUUUAAUUCAGC